rnacentral:lncRNA from 1 species
GCCCUGUUACUUUAGGGAUGAGUUUUCUUUAACCGCCUUGAAGACGCUCAGCCCCUUUCUUGGCCGCUCAACUCUUUUCUAACAGGAUAAAAGGGGCUCAGCUGGUUUCUAAAGGGCUCAACAGUUUUUUCCCAAACCUUCCAAAACUCUUUAUCUUCUCACCAAAUCUUAAUUUCUUCACUAGAUUCAUGUCCCUACAACAACAAUUGAGAUUGGAUCUCCAUUUAAACUCAUUCUAAUCAAAAGAUAGUCGAUUUGCAAGAUAAUUCUCAUGAAUACAAAAGAUAAGUGUCACAAUAACAAUUGAAAAC